rnacentral:tRNA from 1 species
GCCUGGGUGGCUCAGUCGGUUAAGCAUCUGACUUCAGCUCAGGUCAUUUGUGGGUUCCAGCCCCACCUGGAGCC